GCUGCUGAAAUGCGGGUUGUAGUUGAUGAAGGCGAAACCGCGGGCCUGGUCGAUGGCGUGGAACAGCGGGUUCCAGUCGAACAGCGCCAGCAUGUAGCCGCCCAGGGUAUUGGCGACGAACAUCUUGCCCGAGGCGAUCAUGUUGGCGCGG
rnacentral:ncRNA from 1 species